rnacentral:lncRNA from 1 species
CCAGCCUCUGGAAAUAUAACUUGUUCGUCGACUUUUUCCUCCUCUGUAGAAGCUGGUUGUUCUUCGGUGCUUGGUGUUUCGGUCAACUCUUCCAUGGGAGGUUUGGAAGUCUCGGCUGUUGUCUCAUCCACAUUUUGAUGAGUGGCUUCUGCAGAUGUCUCCACAGGUUCAACAACUUCCUCUUCCGGAGCUUCAACAAGCUCCUCCUCAGCUCGUUCUUCUGGAAAAGUUGUAGCAGCUUCUUCAUCCCCGCCCGUUGCUACAGCUGGUUUGUGUGUUUCAAGAGCUAUUUCCUGCUCCAUCACUUCAACUGGCUCGUCCAUAGCUGUUUCGUUCGGUUGAGCCGGUUCUUGUGUCUCUACAGAAGUAUCCAGCUCGUCAGCCACUGUCUCUUCAACUUUUACAUCGUUUGUUGUUUCCGGAAUCUCCUCCACCACCUUUGGUGCCUUUACUGUUUCUGAGAAAGUGUUUUCCUGGCUAGCCACUGUUUCCUCUUCAUCAACCAGCUCCUUAUUUUCUGUCACUGUUCCGCCAAGCACAGUAUUUCCUUCGUGAUCGGCUGCAACUUCAUCCACCACCAGUGUUUCUAUAGAAGUCUCCAAGUCAUUAGGCAUUGUUUCCUUAGUACUAGUUUCAUGAUCGGCUGCUUCCAUCUCCUUUGGUGUUUCUAAAGAUGCUUGCACGUCAGUUUCCUCGACCUGUUCUUUACUAUCGGAUGUUGUUUCCUUCUCGUCAGCGAUGGCGGUCUGAUCAGACACUGUUUCCUUAACUCCAUCGUCCACUGGUUCCGUUUCCUCCGUGCCUGCAACGACUGCUGGUGUCUCAACACUCGCUCCUGUAUCAUCCUCUGUUUUCUUUUCCUCGUUGCUAGCGUCGUUUUCAUGCGGAGUAACUUCUUCAGAAACUGUUUCUAAAGAUGUUUCUACCGCGUCCGAGAGUGUUUUGUCAUUCGUUUCGUCAUUAUUCCCUUGUUCCUUCUCAGUGUUCCUGGCUCCACUUUCCUCCAUCGCUUCCACCUUAACAUCUUCAUCAGGAACAGUAAGGUCGCGUUCCCCAUCAGGCAAGCUUUGACGCUCAAUAUCCUCUGUUAUUUCAGCUACCGUAUCCACGAUGUCAUCUCCUGGUGUGCCUUCAGUCGCUGAAUCUUCUUGGCCAUGAUCUCCAGAGUUUCUUGCUGCAUCAACAGUUACUGCUUCUUCAACCAUGUCCGACUUUUCUUGCAAAUCACUUCCGUCGCUUGUCGCUGGAAUCGAGGCCAAAGUAUCAACAUCAGCUGCUGCUCCAACUUCUUCUUUCGGACUCGAGUUCUCCGGAUUACCUCCCACUUCCAAUGACGAUGUCCCUUCGGCUACUGUUUCAUUCUCAUGUUGACUACUCUGUUCCUCGAUCUGAUGUUCCAAAUGACUUUCAGGGGACUUCUCUUCGUCAGGGAUCUGGGCAUCACUCUCUGCACGAGGUGCUGCUUGUUCGCUUGUUCCAACUUCGAUGCCACCUUUUCCACUAUCGUGAAAACUUUCAUCAGAAGUGUUCCUGUUCUCAGAUUCCCCGACGACUGAUCCGCUUUCCUCUUCAGUGUUCGCUGGAUUAUCAACCUCGGCCAGACUUGGUUCGUCUAACUUGAGUUGAUCAUUGCUUUGCUGUGGAUCUGUUUCUUCCAGUGACUCUUGUCCACUCCCAUUUUUCGUUGCCUCUGCUACUCGAUCCUCGGCUUCUAGCUUACUUCCAAGAGUCUGAUCUUCGAGAAGAACCUUACCAUCAAGAUCUUCGCUUGAUACGUCCGUUUGUGAACUUGCCUUGUCUUCGUCAACACCAUCUUUCACAACCUCUUGUACCCCGUGCUCGACUGGAGCAGCAUCACGAUCACCUUCUACUGCUGGAUCACCUUUCUCGCUUGCUUUAAUCGUCACGGUUGCUGGUAAAGGUUCCUCCACUGCGUUCAUCUCAGCUCCUUCUCCGUCAUCUUUACUUUCAAGUAACGCUUGACCACCAUUUUCUUCGACUUUAUCCACAAGUUUCUUCUCGUCCAGAGGCUCCACUAAAACAGCCGCCGGAUUCUCUUCCUCAGACUUACCAUCUUCGACAGGCUUUGAUUCUUUUUCUCCAGAUCUAACGCUUAAGUCCUUUUUACUCUGAUCACUGUCUACUCCACUCUUCUCCUUAUCCAAAAAACUAACGCCGCUCAAAGAACUAUUCUCACUCUUGCUUUCUAAAGCUAAGCCUUCGAUGGCGAUGCUCUCUUCGGCAGCCUACGAGAAGAAUGCGAUAGAAAAAUCAAAAUCUUGCCACUAAAAUCUUAUGCUAAAGAUCUCUAAGCCAUACCUGGAUCGCGUCGCUAUUUACUUCCGCAUCAUCUAGGCCCAUGGCAGAGGUAUUCGAUCAAAAACAGCACCACGGAUCGAUCGAUCCUCCAAUGAAAGAACAGAUUCCGCCUCUGCUCCAAGAAUCAAGCCCGGGAUCGCAAAGAUCGAUCGAAACCCGAUGGAUCGCUCGCCAGGCGCCAAGGACAACCUAUCUUAAUCCACUGAGAAGAAAUAAUCACCCUAAAAUCUCAUCAUAUAUCCACAUACACCGCCAACGUCUUGUCUCCUACAAUAUUCCUUCCAGAAAGGAAUCGGAUCAAAAACUUUGGGCGGGAAAAUGCUUGCGUGUCAGGUCCACAUGGCCCAGCAUCUAUCCACAUCACCUUUCUUUUUGGUCGGCACCGUCCAAACUGUCCUCCAGCCUGGCAUGGGCCACACAGGGCUAGCUGUCCAGUCAUUCUUUUCUCUUUUUUCCUGGCCACUAGGUGGAGAAGUUUAAAUGGAGGAUGAUGUGGGCAAUCCAAAAGGUGGCAAAGAUUGGAAUCCAAAUUCUAAAAGAUAUUCACACCGACAUAAAGCUGUCCAAGCUGACGAUGAUUUUUAGAAUAGUUCUUUGGUUGCAUGCAAGCUAGCAUUUAUAUUCCUUCCCACCACAUCGACGAGAAUAAUAUACAGAGCUUAUCAACCAAACACAAUUUUCUUUAUACUAUAUAACUGUAUGUACAGAGCUUCUUAUCCAAACCAUGGAAGCUCUCCGUAGAGAGAGCUGUUUCGCGUUUUCAGUUAUUUCAUAUUGGCUCUGUGUUUUGUCAUGCGAUCAACUGCUUGGUUCUACUUUUGCUGUUUCAUCUGAUAGUUUUGUUUCCGAGGUUGUUUCGUGAUGGGCUGGUUCAACAGAGUCAACGGGCUUGUCUUCCUGAGAUUCUUUCGUAGUUUCAGUUUCGGUUUUGCUUUCAGGUUCGGUUUUGGUUUCAGGUUCUGCUGGCAUCUCAUUCUCGUGCGCUUCCUCUGCAAUUGACUUUGGGUUUGAAGUCAGUUCUUCCACCUUUUCAGGGUCAGCGGCCGUUGACAUUGUACUCUCUUCUUCUUCCUUGGCAGGAACUUCUUCUGCUACAGCUGCUAAAUUCUCCACCUCGGUCGCUUGUGGUUCAUCGUCCAAACUUGGUGCGUUUACUUCCUCCGUUGACUUCUCGCCAAGGUCAACUAUUGUUGUCUGAUCCACACUUUGUUCUGGUGUACUUUGUUCUAGUGUACUAUCUGCUGGUGCUUUCUCAACCUCAUCCGGCGCUGUUUCCACGACUGGAUUCUCAUCAGCUUGUCCCGGCUCUAGGGCCGCUGGUACUUCAUUGUCUUUCGGAGUGGUUUCAAUCUUCUCUGGCUUCUCAACUGGUUCUUGUUCCUCGGCAUUCAGUGGAGUCUCCUCGAGGCUUGGUGGUGUCUCGGUUUUGCCAGGGAUUGGUUCGGGUUCCACGGUUUCAACCUUCGCGGGAUCACCUGUAAUGAGUGGCUGGCUUUCCGGCAUUGCACGGUCUCCGGUUCCAGCUUCUUCAGAUCCGGCUACUUCCAGGCUUGGUGCAUCAAGUUUUUCCAGUGGCUUGAUGUCAGCUUCGGGAGUUUCCGCUGGGUCUUCCACCGCCGCUUCAAUGUUUGCAGCAGGAUUUGAUUCUUCUAUUGAUGCAGCGUCUGUGCUCUCGCCACCUUCUGGGAAUAUAACUUGUUCGCCAACUUUUUCCUCCUCUACCGAAGCUGGUUGUUCUUCUGUGCUUGGUGUUUCAGUAGACUCUUCCGUGGGAGAUUUGGAACUCUCGGCUGUUGUCUCAUCCACAUUUUGAUGCGACACUUCCUUGGGUUCUCCAGGCGUCUCCACGACUCCAGCAGCAUUCUCUUCUGCAGUUCCAACAAGCUUCUCCUCA